rnacentral:rRNA from 1 species
AAAUUGAAGAGUUUGAUCAUGGCUCAGAUUGAACGCUGGCGGCAGGCCUAACACAUGCAAGUCGAACGGUAACAGGAAACAGCUUGCUGUUUUGCUGACGAGUGGCGGACGGGUGAGUAAUGUCUGGGAAACUGCCUGAUGGAGGGGGAUAACUACUGGAAACGGUAGCUAAUACCGCAUAACGUCGCAAGACCAAAGAGGGGGACCUUCGGGCCUC